rnacentral:hammerhead_ribozyme from 1 species
AUCUAGUUGAUAAGUCCCAAGUAGGACGAAACACGCGUCCUGGAU